UCCUGGUGACUCAGAUGGUAAAGAAUCUGCCUGCAAUGCAGGAGGUCCGGGUUUGAUCCCUGGGUCAGGAA
rnacentral:tRNA from 1 species